rnacentral:tRNA from 2 species
GCAAGCGUGACCGAAUGGUUAUGCUGUCCGCUUUAUGAGCGGAUGAUCAUGGAUUCGAUUCCCAUCUUCUCCA